rnacentral:rRNA from 1 species
AGAGUUUGAUCCUGGCUCAGGACGAACGCUGGCGGCGUGCUUAACACAUGCAAGUCGAACGGUGAUCUUGGGAGCUUGCUCCUGGGUGAUCAGUGGCGAACGGGUGAGUAACACGUGAGUAACCUGCCCCGGGCUCUGGGAUAACUUCGGGAAACCGGAGCUAAUACCGGAUAUGACCCUCGCCUGCAUGGGCUGGGGGUGGAAAGUUUUUCGGUCUGGGAUGGGCUCGCGGCCUAUCAGCUUGUUGGUGAGGUAGUGGCUCACCAAGGCGACGACGGGUAGCCGGCCUGAGAGGGCGACCGGCCACACUGGGACUGAGACACGGCCCAGACUCCUACGGGAGGCAGCAGUGGGGAAUAUUGCACAAUGGGCGCAAGCCUGAUGCAGCGACGCCGCGUGAGGGAUGACGGCCUUCGGGUUGUAAACCUCUUUCAGCAGGGAAGAAGCGUGAGUGACGGUACCUGCAGAAGAAGCACCGGCUAACUACGUGCCAGCCGCCGCGGUAAUAC